rnacentral:rRNA from 1 species
UACGUAGGGUGCGAGCGUUGUCCGGAAUUAUUGGGCGUAAAGGGCUCGUAGGCGGUUUGUCACGUCGGGAGUGAAAACUCGGGGCUCAACCCCGAGCCUGCUUCCGAUACGGGCAGACUAGAGGUAUGCAGGGGAGAAUGGAAUUCCUGGUGUAGCGGUGAAAUGCGCAGAUAUCAGGAGGAACACCGGUGGCGAAGGCGGCUCUCUGGACCAUAACUGACGCUGAGACGCGAAAGCUAGGGGAGCAAACAGG